rnacentral:rRNA from 1 species
AUGUGGGCUAUUUGGAGUGCAAGGCGGAAAGCUAUACAUGAAGAUAUAUACCAUACUCCAUUUGCCACUGACAACUUCAUCAAAGCUUACUUAUCAGAUAUAGAGUUUUUGAAGAAGGAGAAAGCACAUGGGAUAGCAGUACCACGAGAUCAUACGUGGAUUCCGCCACCAACAGAUCACUACAAGCUCAAUGUGGACGCGGCCGUGUCACGCUCGGGCACGUUUGGCGCAGUUGGUGUGGUUUGCAGGGAUGAAAGGGGUUUGUUCAUGGGAGCGUCAGCUCUCGUUUUCAGUGGACUGCGCAACCCCCAGGUGCUAGAAGCACUAGUUGUUUGGGAGGCAUUAGCUCUUUCAGAAGAUCUCUAUAUCAACCAAUUACUGGUGGCCUCCGAUUGCAAGGUGGUGGUAGAUGCAAUCAGGCAAGGAAGCUCAGCAGACUUUGGAGCCAUUGUUGAAGAAAUCAAGGCUAGAGCAACUACCUUUAUUUCAUGUUCGUUUACUCAUGAGUAUAGGACCUCCAAUACGGAGGCCCAUAAUCUCGCAAAGCAUGCUUUAUCUUUAGGGUUUGGCCGACACACCUUGCUAGGACAACCCGGUGAUCUUCCUUUUGUACCUAUGAACAUUAUGAUUCAGUAA